AUGACCACAAAGGCGAGAAUUCAUGGAUGUCAACUUUUUAUUUUGAGGAACACAGCGUUUCGGACUAUAUUGUUACUUCUUUAUCGGUGGAAGGAAAAAAAAUGAAACAGAUAGCUAUAGAAGUACAUGUGAACCAACAUCAGUGAUAAUAUAACAACAAGGGAAGCUAAACUGGCAUGACAGAAUUCCAUUAUUGUGCGUAGUAACCCUGGAGGCCGGGUUUGGAUAAAGCUGGUUCCAGGACGCUUUGCGCGUCGUCAACUGGCGACAUGAGAGACGGGACCCAGCUUAGGAUUGGACAUACUUGUGACGUCAUCAGGCGCAUGCGUACUGGUACAUACGACAAUGAAAGUUCUGAGCAGUAUUCGUUUCAGCUACGCAUUUAGAAAAUACUUGAAAUUACGGAUUAUAAGUGGAUCAUUUAUCCGAAAGCACAUUAUUUUACCAGUGUGAAUACAUACAUUCCGAGUUCUCAGAAGCAGUCAAUAAAUAUUUGAAAAUCC